GGCGAGAUGGCUCAGUGGUUAAGAGCACACUGACUGCUCUUCAGAGGUCCUGAGUUCAAAUCCCAGCAACCACA
rnacentral:tRNA from 1 species